rnacentral:rRNA from 1 species
CCCGCUGAACUUAAGCAUAUCAAUAAGCGGAGGAAAAGAAACUAACAAGGAUUCCCCUAGUAACGGCGAGUGAAGCGGGAUGAGCUCAAAUUUAAAAUCUGGCUGGUUUACUAGUCCGAAUUGUAGUUUAAAGAAGCGUUUUCGGUGGCAGCCUGGGUAUAAAUCCUUUGGAACAGGGUAUCAUAGAGGGUGAGAAUCCCGUCUUUGACUCAGUGCAUGCUACUAUGUGAUACGUUUUCAAAGAGUCGAGUUGUUUGGGAAUGCAGCUCAAAAUGGGUGGUAAAUUUCAUCUAAAGCUAAAUAUUGGCGAGAGACCGAUAGCGAACAAGUACCGUGAGGGAAAGAUGAAAAGAACUUUGAAAAGAGAGUUAAACAGUGCGUGAAAUUGUUGAAAGGGAAACGCUUGACACCAGUCAUGCGAGCGGAAAAUCAGUCUUUUGCGGUGGGGAGAUGUGUGGGUUCGGACCGCAAGGCCGGCCUGCGCUUCAUCUCUGCCGUAAGUGAUGCACUUUUUCGUUUGCAGGCCAACAUCAGUUUCUUCUGCUGGACAAAACUCUUGAGAAGGUAGCAGCUUAGGCUGUGUUAUAGCUCUUGAGCGAUACAGUGGAGGAGACUGAGGUUUUCGCAGCGCGUGCUCUCGGGCAAGGCUGAUUGGGUGCUAUGGGAUCGUUCGGUGUACAAUGCAUGCAUUUUGCGCCGUGUCUUUUCUAUACUCGCUCAACUCGGCUCUUCCGCGCUUAGGAUGUUGGCUUAAUGGUUUUAAUCGACCCGUCUUGAAACACGG